AAUGCCCGAGGCAGCCUGAGCGCGGCUGGGGCUCGGAAAGCGCCAAGCAGGCAGGGACCGAGAGGGGUGAUGGCGCGCCCACCCCUGCAGAGCCGCCUGCGCGGUUGUCCCGCGCGUCCCUGCCGGCGAAGGCUGUGAGAAGCACCGCGGGGCUACGGCGCCUCCAUCCUCUCUAACAGCCGCGCUUACCAGACAGCCAGCCUCCAGCGCUGCUAGGCUACUCCGAGCAGGGGAGAAAAGACGCCGGUCCGCCGGGGACCAGGAGGGAGACGUGAAACCAGAGGCCCGGGGGCCCCCUCUCCGCCUGUGCGACUUGUAGUCUCGUACCAGACGCGUCCGCUUCACUGCUGAAUCUGAAAACGUGGGCUCUUGAGAGCUGCCCUUGGAAGGAGCUGUGCUUUCUGCCUCAUCUUUAACUUUUCGUUUAUUCAGCAAAUAUGUAUCAAGUUCCGACUUCGUGGAAGAGAUUGUGUUAGACACUGGGAGUAAUAGAAACAUAAUUAAGAAGCAGGGGUCCCGGACCUGAAGGGCCUGAGCGUCGGUUCUGAAGGCUGAGAAGUUCAAGAGCAAGUGCUGGCAUCUGAUGAGGGCCUUCUUGCUGUAUCAUCCUACGGUGGAAGGGUUUCACUGUAUCUCCCAGGCUGGAAUAUAGUGGAGAUCAUGGCUCACUGCAACCUUGACCUCCUGGGCUCAAGCGGUCUUCACACCUCAGCCUCCCCAGUAGCUGAUCCUACAGGUUCUUUCAAACUGGGAAAGCUCAUUAAAAGAAAAAUGAGAAAAUCUAUUGGCUGGAUCCUGAACCCUUGGAAGCUCUGUCUGGAUACAUUCUUCUCUGGCAGUGAGGCUUGAGCUCCCGCUGAAGGCUUUCCCGC
rnacentral:lncRNA from 1 species